rnacentral:lncRNA from 1 species
GUUUUAUUCCUUUGAUGAGCAAAACAGAGCUGAGCCAAACCAUUUUUUAAUCAAGCAUGUUCAAGAGACAACCUGCCCACAUGGUGAUAACAUCAAAAUCUCUCCAGAUUGAGCCUUUGGCUGGAAGGACUGCUUGACCUGCUUGACUUUUGACUCCAGACCCCCUCCUGCAUACAGGAUUAGAUCUUCAGAAUCUCAGGAUGCAAUCCAGCACCACUUUCAGCAAAACUUCCAUAAAUCCUCAUCUCUGUCCAGUAACACAAGCACCCGGCUUGUCCAGAAGGCCUGUUUGAAUGUGAACAUGAAGCACCUUGUCCUAAUGGCUAUUAGUGUCCAUCGUGAAAGCAUGACAACUUGAGGACAAAUCUGACAUCAACAAUGCUGAGAGAAAAGCAGAGAAAUAUUGCUAGAACCCUAAUUAAAC